UGACAAGGUGUCCUCGGAUUGGCUGCCUGU
rnacentral:piRNA from 1 species